rnacentral:rRNA from 1 species
GGGGGGGGGGGGGGGGGGGGGGGGGGGGGGGGGGGCGGGGGGGGGAGGGGGGCGGGCUCCUGGAGUCAGGGGCGGACGGGUGAGGAAUGCCUAGGAAUCUGCCUGGGAGUGGGGGAUAACGUCCGGAAACGGGCGCUAAGACCGCAUACGGCCUGAGGGAGAAAGUGGGGGAUCUUCGGACCUCACGCUAUCAGAUGAGCCUAGGUCGGAUUAGCUAGUUGGUGGGGUAAAGGCCUACCAAGGCGACGAUCCGUAACUGGUCUGAGAGGAUGAUCAGUCACACUGGAACUGAGACACGGUCCAGACUCCUACGGGAGGCGGCAGUGGGGAAUAUUGGACAAUGGGCGAAAGACUGAUCCCGCCAUGCCGCGUGUGUGAAGAAGGUCUUCGGAUUGUAAAGCACUUUAAGUUGGGAGGAAGGGCAGUAAGUUAAUACCUUGCUGUUCUGACGUUACCAACAGAAUAAGCACCGGCUAACUUCGUG